GCCCGGAGAUGGAUUCUGAGACACGAAUCCAGGCCCUACGGGGCGCAGCAGGCGCGAAAACUGUGCUAUGCGGGAAACCGUGACAAGGGAACUCCGAGUGCCCGUAAAUUCGGGCUGUCCGCCAGUUUAUACAACUGGUGAAGAAAGGGCCGGGCAAGACCGGUGCCAGCCGCCGCGGUAAUACCGGCGGCUCGAGUAGUGGCCACUAUUACUGGGCUUAAAGCGUUCGUAGCUGGCUUGUUAAGUCUCUGGGGAAAUCUUCCGGCUUAACCGGAAGGCGUCUCAGGGAUACUGGCAGGCUAGGGACCGGUAGAGGUGAGGGGUACUCCAGGGGUAGGAGUGAAAUCCUGUAAUCCUUGGGGGACCACCUGUGGCGAAGGCGUCUCACCAGAACGGCUCCGACAGUGAGGAACGAAAGCUGGGGGAGCAAACCGGAUUAGAUACCCGGGUAGUCCCAGCUGUAAACGAUGCGCGUUAGGUGUAUCGGUGACCACGAGUCACCGAGGUGCCGAAGGGAAACCGUGAAACGUGCCGCCUGGGAAGUACGGUCGCAAGGCUGAAACUCAAAUGAAUUGACGG
rnacentral:rRNA from 1 species